UACAGAGGUCCCAAGCGUUGUUCGGAUUCACUGGGCGUAAAGGGUGCGUAGGCGGUCGGGUAAGUCUGAUGUGAAAUCUCACAGCUUAACUGUGAAACUGCAUUGGAUACUAUUCGGCUUGAGAGUUGGAGGGGGGACUGGAAUUCUUGGUGUAGCAGUGAAAUGCGUAGAUAUCAAGAGGAACACCAGUGGCGAAGGCGAGUCCCUGGACAACGUCUGACGCUGAGGCACGAAAGCUAGGGGAGCAAACAGG
rnacentral:rRNA from 1 species